AUCGCUUCUCGGCCUUUUGGCUAAGAUCAAGUGUAGUAUAGUUACAAGUUACAUACACUUCAUAAAUACAAUUUCAGGAACAUGGUGAUUCUUC
ensembl:snRNA U2 U2 spliceosomal RNA